rnacentral:rRNA from 1 species
UACGUAGGGGGCAAGCGUUGUCCGGAAUUAUUGGGCGUAAAGAGCUCGUAGGCGGUUCGUCACGUCGGCUGUGAAAUCCCGAGGCUCAACCUCGGGUCUGCAGUCGAUACGGGCGGACUGGAGUACUGCAGGGGAGACUGGAAUUCCUGGUGUAGCGGUGAAAUGCGCAGAUAUCAGGAGGAACACCGGCGGCGAAGGCGGGUCUCUGGGCAGUAACUGACGCUGAGGAGCGAAAGCGUGGGGAGCGAACAGG